AUUUUUUUCAGUUGAGAUGUAUUCUAUAUGGGACAUUACUGAUAAUACCCGUCAAAUAAAAGAUUCUCCCUGUUGGCCUCAUAUCUUCUUGUUGUUUGUUGAAGGAGAUGUUGACCGUAAUGAGCUGCGUCUACUGUUUGACCCAGAAGCGCUAACAACUGAGAACAAAACAAGCUCCAUAGUGUUUCACUGUCACAAAAACUAAGCUUUGAACACUAAAUCAGUAUUAUUGCAUUAUCCCACAUCUUUUCUAUUCUACAUAGAACUGAGCUUUGAACACAGAUAAUCA